rnacentral:misc_RNA from 1 species
GUACACCAACCAAGCUUUGAAACAAACAGUAGCCAUGGAACUCAAUAAGACCUGCCACACCUUACUAGGCAUCCAGCCGCCAAAACGAUUCCAAAAAGCCCACCAGUUUUAAGAGUAGUUUGUCCAAUGUAUCUGAUCUUUAGUAGUCCUGGCAUCUUCUCUGUAGCCAAAUUAAUAGUACCCCACACAGCACCGAAUGCACCGCCCACGGCGCCGCCGAUGGCGGCGCCGGCGGUGACCUGAGAAAGGCA